GGCUCAGAACGAACGCUGGCGGCGUGCUUAACACAUGCAAGUCGGAUGCGAACGGCGCUUUCGGGCGUUGAGUAGCAUGGCAGACGGGUGAGGAGCGCGUAUCUGACUGGACUCAGGCUGGGGGAUAGUCCCUCNGAAAGGGGGUUGAAUACCGCAUGUGCUCGGUGCUGUGAGGGCACCGAGGAAAGUUGGCCUCUGCGGGCACGCUGAUGGCCUGAGACAGGGAUGCGUCCUAUUAGCUAGCUGGUGGGGUAAGGGCCUACCAGGGCGACGAUGGGUAGCUGGUCUGAGAGGAUGAUCAGCCACACUGGGACUGCGACACGGCCCAGACUCCUACGGGAGGCAGCAGUGGGGAAUUUUGCGCAAUGGGCGCAAGCCUGACGCAGCAACGCCGCGUGCAUGACGACGCCUUUCGAGGUGUAAAGUGCUGUCGACCGGGACGAAGGGGCGAGGGUGAACAGCUUUCGCGCAUGACGGUACCGGUGGAGGAAGCCCCGGCUAACUCCGUGCCAGCAGCCGCGGUAAGACGGAGGGGGCGAGCGUUGUUCGGAAUUACUGGGCGUAAAGCGCGCGUAGGCGGUGCAGCAAGUGGUGCGUGAAAGCCCUCGGCUUAACCGGGGACGGGCGUGCCAAACUGUUGGACUGGAGUGCCGGAGGGGGAGGCGGAAUUUCUGGUGGGGCGGUGAAAUGCGUAGAGAUCAGGAAGAACGUCGGCGGCGAAGGCGUGCUCCUGGACGGACACUGACGCUGAGGUGCGACAGC
rnacentral:rRNA from 1 species